rnacentral:rRNA from 1 species
UACGGUAGGGGGCUAGCGUUGUCCGGAAUCAUUGGGCGUAAAGAGCGUGUAGGCGGCCCGGUAAGUCCGCUGUAAAAGUCAAAGGCUCAACCUUUGAAUGUCAGUGGAUACUGCCGGGCUAGAGUCCGGAAGAGGCGAGUGGAACUCCUGGUGUAGCGGUGGAAUGCGCAGAUAUCAGGAAGAACACCAACGGCGAAGGCAGCUCGCUGGGACGGUACUGACGCUGAGACGCGAAAGCGUGGGGAGCGAACAGG